UACAGAGGUCCCAAGCGUUGUUCGGAUUCAUUGGGCGUAAAGGGUGUGUAGGUGGCGCCGUAAGUCGGGUGUGAAAUCUCGGGGCUUAACUCCGAAACUGCAUUCGAUACUGCGGUGCUUGAGGACUGGAGAGGAGACUGGAAUUCAUGGUGUAGCAGUGAAAUGCGUAGAUAUCUGGAGGAACACCGGUGGCGAAGGCGGCAUCCUGGACCAAUACUGACACUGAGGAGCGAAAGCCAGGGGAGCAAACGGG
rnacentral:rRNA from 1 species